CACGUAGGGGGCAAGCGUUGUCCGGAUUUAUUGGGCGUAAAGAGCUCGUAGGCGGUUCGCUAAGUCGGGUGUGAAACCUCCAGGCUCAACCUGGAGACGCCACCUGAUACUGGUGUGACUCGAGUCCGGUAGGGGAGCGUGGAAUUCCUGGUGUAGCGGUGAAAUGCGCAGAUAUCAGGAGGAACACCAGCGGCGAAGGCGGCGCUCUGGGCCGGAACUGACGCUGAGGAGCGAAAGCGUGGGUAGCAAACAGG
rnacentral:rRNA from 1 species